rnacentral:rRNA from 1 species
AUGAAUCUCCUGAGUUGGAACUGCCGGGGAGGGGGGAACUCCCGGACAGUUUGUGAUUUAGCGACUAUGGUUCAGUCGCAUUCCCCCACCAUGGUGUUUCUAUGUGAAACUCGGCAAUCAAAAAAUCGUAUGAAAAGAUAUCGAGCUCAUUUGGGACUUCAAGGUUUUGAUGCAGUAGACAGUAUUGGUAAUAGUGGUGGCUUGCACUGUUUUGGCACGAAUCGCUGUCUGUUGAGGUGGUUUUCUCGAAUCAGCGAUGCAUUGAUGCACAAGUUAAGGCAGGAGCAGAUGAUCCACCUUGGCGCCUAA